rnacentral:rRNA from 1 species
GACGAACGCUGGCGGCGUGCUUAACACAUGCAAGUCGAACGCUGAAGCUUGGUGCUUGCCCUGGGUGGAUGAGUGGCGAACGGGUGAGUAAUACGUGAGUAACCUGCCCUUGACUCUGGGAUAAGCCUGGGAAACUGGGUCUAAUACUGGAUACGACAUGUCACCGCAUGGUGGUGUGUGGAAAGGGUUUUACUGGUUUUGGAUGGGCUCACGGCCUAUCAGCUUGUUGGUGGGGUAAUGGCUCACCAAGGCGACGACGGGUAGCCGGCCUGAGAGGGUGACCGGCCACACUGGGACUGAGACACGGCCCAGACUCCUACGGGAGGCAGCAGUGGGGAAUAUUGCACAAUGGGCGGAAGCCUGAUGCAGCGACGCCGCGUGAGGGAUGACGGCCUUCGGGUGGUAAACCUCUUUCAGCACGGAAGAAGCGAAAGUGACGGUACGUGCAGAAGAAGCGCCGGCUAACUACGG